rnacentral:lncRNA from 1 species
AUCAGACUUUGUGUGUAACUCCACUAGCCUACCAGGGUGCCUCUCAUAAAGGAGUUUGAAAAAUCACAUUUGAGAAGAGGAUUGGAUCCUAGCCAUAACAUAAAUAUAAGGGUGGAACCAAAGUUUUAAUCAAAGAAGGUGAUGUUCAGUUGCUGCUUACGAUAGUUGAUACCCCAGGAUUUGGAGAUGCAGUGGAUAAUAGUAAUUGCUGGCAGCCUGUUAUCAAUUACAUUGAUAGUAAAUUUGAGGACUACCUAAAUGCAGAAUCACGAGUGAACAGAUGUCAGAUGCCUGGUAACAGGGUGCAGUGUUGUUUAUACUUCAUUGCUCCUUCAGGACAUGGACCAUUACAUAACUGAAGACUCCCACCUUCAGGCAGGAUUGGGUAGUACGUGUUUGUAACUACCUGGCAUUGCCUUUUGUUGAGGAAGGGUAGAUGUCUACCCAAAUGGAAUAUUGAGUAUCAGAGACUUCAAAUGAUAACUUUUGUUUGUUUGGAGAAAAUCUUGAGGACGUGAUCACUGUACAAAAGCAUGGCAAAAUGAGGAAACCACUGACAGGUGAAGAAUUUGCACAAUGGAAAACCACCUUGACCAUCUCAUGACUUUAUACAGGAAUCGGAGACAUCCAAGGCCAUUCCAUUUCUAGAUCACACUUAUCCCUCAAUCAAGUCAGUGACUGGAUCAUCUCCUAAGGUUUCACCUGCUUUGCAUCAGGGCAGGGUUCCACUCCCAUUGCCCAGGCUGGAGUGCAGUGGCGUGAUCUUGGCUCACUGCAACCCCCUCCUCCCCUAUUCAAGCACUUCUCCUGCCUCAGUCUUCUAAGUGGCUGGGACUACAAGCGUGUGCCACCACACCCGCGCUUGUAAUAGAAAAUAAUUUUUCUAUUUUUUUGUAGGGAUGGGGUUUCACCAUGUUGGCCAGGCUGGCCUCGAACUCCUGAGCGCAAGUGAUCAACCUGCCUCUGCCUCCCAAAGUGCUGGGAUUACAGGUGUAAGCCACCAUGCCCGGCCUCUGAUUUUUCUAUAGUG